GACGAACGCUGGCGGCGUGCUUAACACAUGCAAGUCGAACGGAAAGGCCCUGCUUUUGUUGCUUGCUUGAGUGGCGAACGCGUGAGUAACACGUGAGUAACCUGCCCUUGACUUUGGGAUAACUUCAGGAAACUGGGGCUCAUACCGGAUAGGAGCUCCUGCUGCAUGGUGGUGGUUGGAAAGUUUCGGCGGUUGGGGCUGGACUCGCUGCUUACCAGCUUCUUGGUGGGGUAGUGGCUUACCAAGCCUUUGACGGGUAGCCGGCCUGGGAGGGUGACCGGCCACAAUGGUACUGAGAUACGGCCCAGACUGCAACGGGCGGCAGCAGUGGGGAAUAUUGCGCAAUGGGCGGAAGCCUGAUGCAGCAACGCCGCGUGCGGGAUGACGGCCUACGGGUUGUAAACCGCUUUCGCCUGUGACGAAGCGUGAGUGACGGUAAUGGGUAAAGAAGCACCGGCUAACUACGUG
rnacentral:rRNA from 1 species